GAAUUUUAUAUAAGUUUAUUAUUUAGGUAUUGAAUAGUGUUAUAAUAAAUUUUAUAUUUUAUUGGGAGGAUAAUUAAAUUAAAUAAACUUUAAUAAGAGUAUAAGUCAUUAAUGAAUGAUUUAUGAAAGAUGAGUGGUUGUUUAGUUUAGAUAGAAUUAAUUACCUUAGGGAUAACAGCGUAAUAUUUUUAGAGAGAUCUUAUUAAUAAAAAUGAUUGC
rnacentral:rRNA from 1 species